AAGGAUGAUGGAGAAGGAUGAUGGGAAGGAUGAUGGAGAAGGAUGAUGGGAAGGAUGAUGGAGAAGGAUGAUGGGAAGGAUGAUGGAGAAGGAUGAUGGAGAAGGAUGGUGGGGAUAGGUGGUGAUGGGGAAGGAUGAUGGGGAAGGAUGAUGGAGAAGGAUGAUGGGAAGGAUGAUGGAGAAGGAUGAUGGGAAGGUUCAUGGGAAGGAUGAUGGGAAGGAUGAUGGGAAGGAUGACGGGAAGGAUGAUGGGGAAGGAUGAUGGGGAAGGAUGAUGGGGAAGGAUGAUGGGAAGGUUCAUGGGAAGGAUGAUGGGAAGGAUGAUGGGAAGGAUGACGGGAAGGAUGAUGGGGAAGGAUGAUGGGGAAGGAUGAUGGGAAGGAUGAUGGGAAGGAUGAUGGGAAGGGUGAUGGAGAAGGGUGAUGGGAAGGAUGAUGGGGAAGGUUGAUGGGAAGGAUGAUGGGAAGGAUGAUGGGGAAGGAUGAUGGGAAGGUGAUGGAGAAGGAUGAUGGGAAAGGUGAUGGUGAAAGAUGACAGGAUGGGUGAUGGGAAGGAUGAUAAUGAGAAGGAUAAUGAGAAGGACAAUGGGGAAAGAUGAUGGGGAAGGAUGACUGGAAAGACAAUGGGAGAGAUGGGGAAGGAGGAUGGGAAGAAUGACAGGGAAGGAUGAUGGGAGGAUGACUGGAGAGGAUUUAACAGAAGAGAGGAUGGAGAAGGAAGAUGGGAAGGAUGAUGGGGAAGGAUGAUGGAGAAGGAUGAUGGGGAAGGAUGAUGGGAAGGAUGAUGGAGAAGGAUGAAGGGAAGGAUGAUGGAGAAGGAUGAUGGGGAAAGAUGAUGGGAAGGAUGAUGAGGAAAGAUGAUGGGAAGGAUGAUGGGGAAAGAUGAUGGGAAGGAUGAUGGGGAAAGAUGAUGGGAAGGAUGAUGGAGAAGGAUGGGAAGGAUGAUGGAGAAGGAUGAUGGGGAAAGAUGAUGGGAAGGAUGAUGGGGAAAGAUGAUGGGAAGGAUGAUGGGGAAAGAUGAUGGGAAGGAUGAUGGAGAAGGAUGGGAAGGAUGAUGGAGAAGGAUGAUGGGGAAAGAUGAUGGGAAGGAUGAUGGGGAAAGAUGAUGGGAAGGAUGAUGGGGAAGGAUGAUUGAGAAGGAUGAUGGGAAGGAUGGGAAGGAUGAUGGAGAAGGAUGACGGAGAAGGAUGAUGGGGAAAGAUAAUGGGAAGGAUGAUGGGGAAAGAUGAUGGGAAGGAUGAUGGGGAAGGAUGAUGGAGAAGGAUGAUGGGAGGGAUGAUGGAGAAGGAUGAUGGGAAGGAUGAUGGGAAGGAUGAUGGGGAAAGAUGAUGGGAAGGAUGAUGGGGAAAGAUGAUGGGAAGGAUGAUGGAGAAGGAUGAUGGGGAAGGUUGAUGGGAAGGAUGAUGGGAAGGAUAAUGGGAAAGAUGAUGGGGAAGGAUGAUGGGGAAGGAUGAUGGGAAGGAUGAUGGAGAAGGAUGAUGGGGAAGGUUGAUGGGAAGGAUGAUGGGAAGGAUAAUGGGAAAGAUGAUGGGGAAGGAUGAUGGGGAAGGAUGAUGGGAAGGAUGAUGGAGAAGGAUGAUGGGGAAGGUUGAUGGGAAGGAUGAUGGGAAGGAUAAUGGGAAAGAUGAUGGGGAAGGAUGAUGGGGAAGGAUGAUGGGAAGGAUGAUGGGAAGGAUGAUGGGGAAGGAUGAUGGAGGAUGAUGGAGAAGGGUGAUGGGGAAGGAUGAUGGGAAGAAUUAUGGAGAAGGACGAUGGGAAGGAUGAUGGGAAGGAUGAUGGGGAAGGAUGAUGGGAAGGAUGAUGGGGAAGGUUGAUGGGAAGGUUGAUGGGAAGGAUGAUGGGAAGGAUGAUGGGAAGGAUAAUGGAGGAUGAUGGAGAAGGGUGAUGGAGAAGGACGAUGGGAAGGAUGAAUGGAGAAGGACGAUGGGAAGGAUGAAUAGAGAAGGACGAUGGGAAGGAUGAAUGGAGAAGGAUGAUGGGAAGGAUGAAUGGAGAAGGAUGAUGUGAAGGAUGAAUGGAGAAGGACGACAGGAAGGAUGAAUGGAGAAGGACGAUGGGAAGGAUGAUGGGAAGGACAAUGGGAAGGAUGAUGGGAAGGAUGAAUGGAGAAGUAUGAUGGGAAGGAUGAAUGGAGAAGGACGAUGGGAAGGAUGAAUGGAGAAGGUUGAUGGGAAGGACGACGGGAAGGAUGAAUGGAAUGGGUGAUUGGGCACCAAGUGAGAGCAUUCGGUGACACCUUUUUUUUUUUUUUUGAGACUCCCUUUUUUUUUUUUUUUUGAGACGGAGUCUCGCUCUGUCGCCCAGUCUGGAGUGC
rnacentral:lncRNA from 10 species